rnacentral:rRNA from 1 species
CCUACGGGAGGCUGCAGUGAGGAAUAUUGGUCAAUGGACGCGAGUCUGAACCAGCCAUGCCGCGUGCAGGAUGACGGCCCUAUGGGUUGUAAACUGCUUUUAUAAGAGGGUAAACUCAGGUACGUGUACCUGGUUGUAUGUAUUGUACGAAUAAGGAUCGGCUAACUCCGUGCCAGCAGCCGCGGUAAUACGGAGGAUCCGAGCGUUAUCCGGAUUUAUUGGGUUUAAAGGGUGCGUAGGCGGUUUGUUAAGUUAGUUGUGAAAUGUUGCGGCUCAACCGCGAAAUUGCAUUUGAUACUGGUAGACUUGAGAAUAGUUGAGGUAGGCGGAAUUUGUGGUGUAGCGGUGAAAUGCUUAGAGAUCAUGCAGAACUCCGAUUGCGAAGGCAGCCUACCAAACUACAACUGACAUUGAGGCUCGAAAGUGUGGGUAGCAAACAGGAUUAGAUACCCGGGUAGUC